rnacentral:pre_miRNA from 1 species
AGCCUUCUCUAUCCGUGCUGAGAUUUCGUCACACCAGACCACAAGGGCUGAUGAGACUUCCGUGAUAAGUGAAGCG